AUUGAACGCUGGCGGCAGGCCUAACACAUGCAAGUCGAGCGAGCGGCGGACGGGUGAGUAAUGUCUGGGGAUCUGCCCGAUAGAGGGGGAUAACUACUGGAAACGGUUGCUAAUACCGCAUACUAUCGGAUGUACCCAUAUGGGAUUAGCUAGUAGGUGGGGUAAAGGCUCACCUAGGCGACGAUCCCUAGCUGGUCUGAGAGGAUGAACAGCCAAACUGGGACUGGGACACGGCCCAGACUCCUACGGUAGGCAGCAGUGGGGAAUAUUGCACAAUGGGCGCAAGCCUGAUGCAGCCAUGCCGCGUGUAUGAAGAAGGCCUUAGGGUUGUAAAGUACUUUCAGCGGGGAGGCGUUACCCGCAGAAGAAGCACCGGCUAACUCCGUGCCAGCAGCCGCGGUAAUUC
rnacentral:rRNA from 1 species